rnacentral:lncRNA from 1 species
UCAGGAGAAAACGGAGUUGCUGGCAGAAGGACUGGAUGGGAAGGAAAGAAUUAGGCGUGCAAAAUCUUUUGUACAAAGAGCUCUUGAAAAUUGACCACAAAGAAUACCGGAGGCUCCUUCGUGUCAGCAGAGAGCAUUUUCUGCAACUGCUGUCACGCGUGGAACCUCGCAUCCGAAAGGAGGACACCACGAUGCGCCGAUCUAUAUCGGCAGAGACACGGCUGCAAGUCACGCUGCGAUACCUCGCUUCAGGUAAGUGUCGCACGAUUCUAUGUUUUUGCGGAAAGCUCCGUGCAUGGGAAAAGAGCAAGACCAGUGUAUACCAGUUUCGUGGGACCGCGCUGCGGCACCGAAUUUCUGAAUGAACACGCUCGAAAUCAUAUUCUUCUGUUUACAUGUAGCUGUAACAUACAGCGUACAUGUUUCUAGCUAAUACUCUAUUAAUCUGCCGCUAUAAAACAACUGGGUAUCAUAUGUAUUUGUACACUUCGCAAAUUUUGUCGCCUGACGCAAAUAAUUGACUGAGAACAUUAUUUUUUUUCGUUGCAGGAGAGAGCCAGCAUUCCCUCAGCUGUCAGUUUAGACUGGGUCAUUCUAGCGUCAAUGAUAUUAUUUAUGAAACGUGCUGUGCCAUUUACGAAGAGCUAGGAGGAGACUUCAUAAGGACACCCUCCACCAAAGAAGAGUGGAAAAAUGUAAUGGACGGCUUCAGUCAGAAAUGGAAUUUCCCAAACUGCAUUGGAGCAAUCGAUGGAAAACACGUGCUCAUAAAGAAGCCGCCGAAAUCGGGAACAAUUUACCGGAACUAUAAAAAACGUUGCAGUGUUAUUCUCUUCGCCGUCGUUGAUGCCAAUUACAAGUUUUUGUAUACUGAUAUUGGUGCACCAGGAUCGGAUGGAGAUGCGGAUGUCUGGCAAGCGACACUCCUGCAGGAAGACAUAGAAAACAAAAGGGUAGGCCUGCCAGAACUUGUCAAGGUGGCCAGUUCACCGGAUGUGCAUGUUCCACCUGUGUUUGUAGCGGACGACGCAUUCCCCAUCGGACGAAACUUAUUGAAACCUUACGGGGGCACAAAUCUAACAGAAGAAAAGAAAAUAUUUAAUUACAGGAAGGAAUCCCAGGACAGAACUACCGGAUCCGCACCCAGUGCUUGGCCAUUUUUCACGGAACUACACAAAUUCCCGGGGACACUCCCCAUCAAUGACCGCUCUCUCGAGCAAGACAGUCGCCCUUCACUGAAGAGAAACGUCGAGGAGGUAUGCAACUCAGUUGCGCAAGAUAACGUCGUCACGAUAAUAACUAAUUUGCCCGUGCCACAACCAAACUUCUUUUCUCUCUGAUACCAUUAAUGUGGGCAAUUUGCUAUGCUUAACGCUAACCUUUUUGAAAUCUGUAAUUCUGGCUUGAAAGUCUGUAAAUAUGACCUCAGCAUUUUCACUUUUGGAAUGCAAAAUAUUGCUGAUUGCAGAAUGCAACCUUGAAAUGUGACAAUUUAAAGCCUAUAUUGUAUUGUACAUCGUGAUUAUGAAGUCUGUUUAGAGGCAUUUGAUAUCUACAAGCAAUGGUAAGGAAGACGCAGCAUGGGACGAAAUCAUUGCACUAAUAUGCCCCAAAAGAACAAACUUUUUGUCACAACUAAUGUUUGGAGUGCAUCUUUUGGAAGCUACUUGAUAUGCUUAGUUCAUUUUUCUUGCAUGCUUCAUUGUUGCAGCGUUUCAACAAUGUGUGACAUCACAAACAUCGCAUUAGGCUGAAACUAGCUCAAUGUUAUGGGAAACACUAACAGAUUUUUUGUCUUUCGGAUUAUUCUGAGCAUGGAGACGGGCUCAAGUCACUCUUCAUAUGAAGACAAGGCUACUGAAAGUAGCUCCGUGACAGAGGGCUGCAGCAGUGCCUCGGAGCUGCAACAAGAGCCACAGCCUGGCACCAGCACAAGCACAAGCAAGCCACGAGAGCAGCGCCGAGUGCAGAAGCGAGAGCGGAUGUCGACAAAUGAAAAGUUUCAGAAUGCACUGCUUCAGCAGCAAGGAAAGCUGCUUUCAGCUCUCAAAAAUGCCACGCAGGUCGAACAGGGCUUGCGUGAACGACAAGUGGCAGCCCAAGAGAAACUUGUGGACUUGUUUUCAAAAUAUUUUAAUAAAUAAAUGCCACUAAUUA